rnacentral:rRNA from 1 species
CAGCAGCCGCGGUAAGACGAACCGUGCGAACGUUAUUCGGAAUCACUGGGCUUAAAGCGCGUGUAGGCGGAUUGGUGCGUCGGUGCCUGAAGUCCCCCGGCUCAACCGGGGAACGCGGCCCGAAACGACCAGUCUGGAGGGACGUAGGGGGAACUGGAACUUCCGGUGGAGCGGUGAAAUGCGUUGAGAUCGGAAGGAACGCCCGUGGCGAAAGCGAGUUCCUGGACGUCUGCUGACGCUGAGACGCGAAAGCUAGGGGAGCGAACGGGAUUAGAUACCCGAGUAGUCCCUGUCCUUAUAC